rnacentral:rRNA from 1 species
UACGAAGGGUGCAAGCGUUACUCGGAAUUACUGGGCGUAAAGCGUGCGUAGGUGGUGAGUUAAGUCUGUCGUGAAAGCCCCGGGCUCAACCUGGGAAUGGCGAUGGAUACUGGCUCGCUAAAGUGCGGUAGAGGAGAGUGGAAUUCCCGGUGUAGCAGUGAAAUGCGUAGAGAUCGGGAGGAACAUCAGUUGCGAAGGCGGCUCUCUGGACCAGCACUGACACUGAGGCACGAAAGCGUGGGGAGCAAACAGG